CUAGCUUUUCAGGGGUCGCUCAUCCUAGGACUACUCCCGUUCUAGUAUGCUUAACUUUUUUAAGCUGUUGGGUUUAGCCAUCCCAACUUCCCAGGAGUCACUCAUCCUAGGACUACUUCCGUCCUAGUAUGUUUAACUUUUUUAAGCUCUUGGGCGUAGCCACUACCCAAAAUCUUAAGUCGGAUUAAAAGUUUUAACCCUCUAUCGCUUGGUAAUUGGCUCUGAUAUCAACUAUGACGUUCCAACUUUUCAGAGAAUUACCUAUUCUAGGACUACUCACGUCCUAACAUGCUUAACUCUCUUAACUCUCUUAACCUCUUGGCCUAUCCACCCACCAAAAUGAUUAAGUCGGGUUAACUUUUUCCUAUUUUCUUUCUAACAACCUUAAGGUUGUUAGAUGGAAAAUAGAAAAAAGGGAGUGGCAGACGUGAAUUAUUAGAAUUUUUAUUUAAUUGUUAGGAUUAUAUAGAUAAAUUAUUAGAAUUUUUAGGUUGUUAAAAUUAUAUGUGAUUUGUUGUAAUUUUUAUAUGAUUGUUUAGAUUAUAUGAUUUGUUGUUAGGACUUUCUUUGAUUGUUAGGAUUUUAUUCAAUCUUUCGUCCCCUGUGUCGGCUCAUAGAUUUUACUAUUAAGCUAAUUAUAACACUUGAUUGAACUGGAAGAUAAUUUUGAAUAUAAUUAUAGUUAUAAUUAUAGUAAAACAAAAUGAAAGAAUGACACAAAGGAUUUUAGUUUUCUCCGAUAUCUUACUUAUUGAUAUCAUUUAUUCAUCAUCAUAUAUGAAUAAUUUUCCUAGUAAUUCAUAGUAAUAAACCUUCCACUUGCAAAAACAUUUCCACCUACAAUACACAAGUUAACUAAAUAAUCAUGAAAAUUUAUUUAUUCCUGGAGCUCCAAUUGUGUGUUACAAUUUAUCAUGUAUUUAGUAAGAGCUGAAGUUGUUGAAUCAUACAAGUUGUCAAAUCAUUUAUAUAUUAUGCCAAUAUUUAUCUUCAUGCUUAUAAAGUGUAUUUUAAUAAAUUGAAUCUUUUCACGAGAGAAACGGUUUUUUGGUUGCUUGUUUACUCAUUAUUCAGAAACCUAUAAUAGUUGCAUAUGCAUGAACCUAGGGAUAGGGAUGUCAACUGAUCGGAUUCGAAGCGAGUUUUUAAAAAUUCAAAUCCGAACUCGAUUCCAAAUUCGAAAUCCGAACCCGAAUCCAAAUUCGAAUCCGACGAAUUUUAAAAAUUUAUAUCCAAAUCUGAACCCAAUAAAAAAUUUGAAAUCCGAACCCGGGCCCCAACCCGAAAAUCUGAACCGAAAUAAUUAUUGUUCCUUUCAAUAUUUCAAAAAUAUAUUAUAUUAAUCUAAAUUUUUAAAACACAAAUUCAAAUACAACAUCAAACAUUUGGAUUGUUGUCGGGUUCGAGUCGAGUACAAUCAAAAUCCGCAAUGAGAAUUCAGAAUUUGUUCUAAUACCAAGCGCUGGAAAUUCAAUAGUACUGAUAGUUGGGAAUCUGCAAUGAGAACGUCAAAACCAAUUUUUAAAAUAAACGGUAAAUCAAUCACAUUAUUUUUCUUAAUGGAAAUACGAUGGAUCAUUUAUCGUUUUUGAAAUAUAAAAAAAUGAGAGUGAAUGAUUAAUCGUCUUCUAAAUUAUAUUAAAGGCAGUAAAUGACCGACCAUCAUCUUCUACUUAUUUUUCCAAUUGAACAUUGAGUUUGGACAAACUAGAGUUAUUUAAUCAAAUAAUUUUUUUACGAAGUUUUUUAAUGGUUAAAUGAAAAAAAAAAUCCAUUCUUCCCCGCCCAAUGAGUUGUCGCCUUUCUUUUCAUUUUGGUCCCAAAUAUAUAUAUUUUAAUUAUAUUCUUAAUCUUUAGAAUAAUUGCACUUUGAUUCUAAAUCUUUAUUUAUUUUUCGCUUUGGUUCAUUAUUCCUUAAACUAUAUGUGCACUCAUCUCAUUAAGCAAGAAAUUUCAUCAUCCUUAAUAUUGUCCUCGAUGCCUACGACCAGUUCGACCGUGCAUACGACAUUUAAUAUCUCUUUUAGAGCAUCUACUAUUUUUGGUGUCGAACAGAACGUGCCACCGAACUCUCUUCUAAAAACUUAAUUCGGAGGCUACUGGAUCUUGACCCUGAUCUACAUGUGUGGAUUUGGGCUUCAUUAGUGUCAAGUUGUUCUAUUCCGUCAAAAUCAAUUGGAAUUUUACAAACUAUAAAUAUUUCAGACCUAAUAUCAAAAGAAAAGAAAGCUAAGGGAGAAAAUAGAAGAAAAGAUUAAAGGUUAUUAAGUCACUACUCUUUAAAAAAAGGUUAACUCUAGCAAAAACUAUCAUGUUUUCAUUAAACAAUAUUUGCCGUAUUAGCAUUAAUCUUACUGCAUGGCAAUUACCACCAGAGUUUACGCCAUUUUUUUCGAGAUUUUAUUUGAAAAAAUUAGAAAGAUUAGAGACCUAACUAUAAAAAGAAAAUAAAAAGUUAGGGAUUACAAUCUAAAACUGGGUAAUGGUUGGGAACCAAAGGUGAAACCAACCAAGCAUAGAUGUUUCUUCAAGCAUGAAUUAUUUGCAAACUAGUGCCAAAUUAAUUCUUAUAAUAUUUACUAUUCAAUAUGCAAGGAUCCAAUUAAAAGGGAAAACUUCAAAUAACCCCUAUGGUUUCGCAUUUUCUCACUUUAGUAUCCUGUGGUUUAAGGUGUAUCAAGCUAGUAUCCUGUGGUUUCACACUUUUUCACUUUAGUACCAUGUAGUUUAAAGUGUAUCAAGUUAGUACCCUGUGAUUUCAUUUUUGUAUCAAGUUAGUACCAUGUGGUUUCAUUUUUCUCUUUUUAUUAUUCAUUUCGAGGUAUUUUUACAGGGUAUAAAGUAAGAAAGUACGAAACCACAGGGUACUAGCUUGAUACACUUUAAACCAUAGGGUACUAAAGUGAGAAAGUGCGAAACCGCAGUGUACUAACUUGAUACACUUUAAACCAUAGGGUACUAAAGUGAGAAAGUGAGAAACCACAAGGGUGUAUUUGAAGUUUUCCCUAAUUAAAAAGAUAAGCUUCAGUUGCCCUCUCUUGUUCAACUAAUAUGAUGCCCCAACUUUCCAGAGGGUCAUCAAUUCUUGGACUACUUCCGUCCUAACACGCUUAACUCUCUUAAUCACCACCCAAAAUGCUUAAGUUGGGUUAAGAGUUUUAACCCUUUUCCGGCUGGUAAUUGGUUUUGAUACCAACUGUGACACCCUAACUUUCCAAAGGGUCACCUAUCCUAGGAUUACUCCUGUCCUAGCACGCCUAACUCUCUUAACCUCUUGGGUCUAGCCACCAUCCAAAAUGUUUAAGUCGUAUUAAGAGUUUUAAUCCUACUAUAUCUUAUAUAUAAAACUAUUCGGGGUCUCACAGCUCACUUUUUACUUUUGGCACUAUGAUUCAAAAAAAUUAUUAUUAAUUAUCCCGUGUUUCUAUUUAUACUCCACUACAAGAUAUUAGUAAAUACGAUCCCAAAGUAAUAUAUUUUACCAACUACAGAUAACAAAUUGUAGAUUAUAAAAAGUAUAAAAACUAUAUGAUUUUUUGGUUAAUUUACUGUAAUAUGCGAACUUUUGAUACUUGUGUAGGUGUGAGAAAGAGGGUGGAAAUGAGAUUAAACCGUUUUGGCGCGAAAUUGACGCGAAAACGGAUAAAUUGGGCCAAUAUUUCAUUAUGAGGGACCAUAUUGCAAAUAGCAAAAUUACUGGAUUAAGUUGCAAAAUGGCUUGAUCUUAUCCUCUCUCCCUCUCUCUCUCCCUUUGAAGCUGCCAGAAAACAAGAGAAAAAGAAAGAGAGAAGAAGAAGAAGAAGAAGAAGAAGAUGAAGAUGAAGAUGAAUUGGAGGUAAGGUAAAAAUUUCUAUACUUCUCUCUCCCUUCCCUUCUUCUUCCCUUUCUUUUCCCUUCCUUUCUCUCUUCCCCUUUCCUUCUUCCUUUCCUUUCUCCCUGUUCUUCCCCUGCUGCUGCUGGUGCAGUUUUGCAGCCUUGCUGCUGCUGCGAGGUACUGUAGCAGCAGCAGCAGAUUGCUGCUGCAGGCUGCCCAGCAGCAGCAGCAAAUUGUUGCUACUGCAGGGGCAGCAAGAAAGAAAGAAAGAAAAGAAAAAGAGAAGAGGAAAAGAAGAAAUGAAAGGAAGAGGAAGAAUGAAAAAGAGAAAUCGAGAGAUAGAGAGAGAGAGAGAUGGAAAGAAAAGAAUAGAUAGAAUAACAUGAAUGAAGUGGAUGUAGAAAUUGGAUCGAGUGAUGCAAUUGGCGUAAUUCGUACCUCUAAUCUCCAAUUGAUGCACGCAGGGUGUUCGAGAGUGUGAAUUAGUGUGAUACACAUUUCCGAUGAGGCGCAAUUUAAGUAAUUUCGGGAAAUCGUGCGAAGGGUCGCGUGUAACCUUUCUUUUAUCGGAGUCGACAUAGCGAGUCGAGGUGGGUUUCGAGUCGUCGAAAAUGGCGAAUUUCCCCCUAUGUCUAUUUUGGUAGAAGCUAUAUAAUAUUUGAAUUUGCACAUCUAGUUUACCUGUUUAUUGAUCCUCAGACCGUGAAAAAUUGAAGCAUGAUAGAGAUUUAGCAUUGACAUCUGAUUAUGAGCAGAAGUAUGUAUAUGCAUAUGCGUAUGAUGAUUUAUACUUGAGCAUUGUGUUGAAUAGACGUAGCUCAUGUCCCUGUUUGUGGUUCUCCGUUCAUGACUUUGUUUAUUGAAAGAGAUUAUUGAAAGAGAUGCUAUUAGCAUGAAGUUGAGUUUAUAUGCAAAGAUGAGAACUAAUGUAGGUCACACUUCUUUCCUCGCCAUGAUAUAGUAAUUGUCAGCAAUAUUUAGAUCCGGUAACGUAUCGACUUGCUCUACCGCCGAACCUAUCGGGCGUGCACAACGUCUUUCAUGUAUCGGUCCUUCGAAGGUACAUUCAUGAUCCAGCUCACGUUUUGGAGACUAUACCAGUGGAACUGCGUGAGGAUUUGAGCUUUGAGGAGCAAUCAGUGAAGAUUUUGGCUCGCGAGGUGAAGAAGCUGCGGAAGCGGGAUAUUCCAUACGUGAAGGUACUUUGGAGCAACCACGGGGAGCGAGAGGCCACGUGGGAGCUGGAGAGCGCUUUGCAGGAGCGCUAUCCCCAUCUUUUUCAGAUGGAGUCUUGAGGUAUGCUUUUGCUUUUGAGUUUCACGGACGAAACUCCUUUUUAGGAGGGGUGAAUGUGACGCACUGGACUUCGCAAAUUGUGGGGUUCGAGUGAUUGAUUGUGUUCUGAACUUUUCUAGACUUUCUGGUGGGUCGUUGACAGUGUUCGGACCUAUGGUUCGAGUCCCGAGAAUUGUGGUUUAAAGCUGUGUACCAAAAUCCAAAAAGUUGGAUUUUUGGUCAGCUCUCGGGAAGCCUGCAGCAGGCUGUGUACCGGUACAGGCUUGGUGGCUGUACCGGUACAGGGUUGAUGGCUGUACCGAUACGGGACCGCGUACCGGUACACAGACGAUUUUGAGGCAAACCCGAGGCUCGGGUUUGGCCAUUUCGUGGGUUGUGUACCGGUACACAAACCCGUGUACCGGUACGCAGUGCAGAUUUUGGCUGUUUUGUGGACGGGUGUUUUUGCAAUUGUUGCAACCUCUGUUUAAGCACACCCCAGCCCCUUGGGGGCUGUUUUGAGUCCUAGAACAGUGGAGAGCAAGGUAAGAGGAGUUCCUUUGAUUUCUUCUCCAUUUUUGUUGGAUUUUGGUUGAUUUUGAUCCCUCCUCUCUUCUCUACCUUGCUUUUUGUUGGGUUACCACCAUUGUUGAAGGCUUGGAGCUUGGAGAGGAGCUUGUUUAAGAGGUGAUCUUCAACUCCACUUGGCUUGUGACUUGGUUUUGAGCUUCUUGUGAGGUUAGUAAGCCUAAUCUUUUCUUUGGAUUAAGUUUCGGUAGCUUCUACUAGAUCAAACCCUAGAUUUGGCAUAUUAGGGCUAAAAAUGGGGAUUUUUGAUUUGAGGGCUUUGGAACCAAAUUGAUGGGUUUAGAACCUUUGUUUAGGUUAGAUUGGAAGGACUCUAGCUCCCAUUUGGAGAUCGAGAGAGCUUCCUUCGUAAUCGGUGAGUUUUCUUCAACCCUAGCCCUAAAUGAUUAAUGAUUGAGCUUAGCGUCAUUCGUUUCGAUUGGGUGACACUUAUUUUCAUACCUCUAGGAUACUAGGAGGCUAGAGGACACCAUCGUCGGAGCAAACGAAGGGUUUCGUUUACCGUUGGUGGGUUUGACUUUAUGAAAAUGGGGCGAAAUGGCCCCUAUGCUUUCUAAACUUUUCGUAAAUUAUUUUUGAAUGCAAAUUCAUGCUAAACAUGAAUUAUGUGAAUUUUAGAACACUUAAAAUGCAUGCAUUAUUUAUCAUAAAAUUUACACUCUAUAUAGUAGAGCUAUAUGUGUAGAUUGCAUUCAUUGUGGAUGGUGUUUGGUUUCGCAAGUGAGAACAUGUCUCCAUGCUAGAAUUGAGUGAAAUUGUGCAUCAUGAACAUAUUAAUACCAUGCUUGGACUCGUUGAACAAAAGUGUCAUAAAGGGCACUUGGAAUUAGUAAACUGUGAAACUGCAAUAUAGAGACAAAUUGAUAGGCCAUUAUACAUCUUCUAUAUUCCAUGUUAGAGACAUGAUGAUAUAGAAAUAGGCCAUUGAGACACUUGAUAUAUUCCAUAUUUUUAGACAUGAGGACUUGGUACUUGAGACAGAUCAUUGCUUGCUUGCCAUUGUGCUCAUUCGCACAUACUUGUGAGGGUCGCUCCCUACAAGCCGGCACUCCGGAGAUAGCCAUCGCGACAUCUGCUCGCCCGUGCGGGAUUGGGCGCCGAAGUGGAUUGCCGUGGGGGAGGCUCAUCCCUAGAGUGGGGAUGUUGACUACCACGGGGCCAUUAGGCACGGCGCAGGCCAGACAGCCUUCGAGUGGGUCUUGUGAUUGGGACUUAGUGACAGAACAUGCUAUGUGAACUUUAAAACUAUUAAAGUGGACUUGAACUAGAAUAGUAAACAAUGACAUCUUUACUAUUUUUGCAUUGAGGACAUCGGAUUGGUUGCAUUUCUAUGCUUAUCCAUGUCAUACACAUUCAUGCACAUUCAUGUUAUCGUUGCUUUAUUACUUAUGCAAAUCAAGCUAAGUAGAGACUUUAUGUUAUAGUAAGUUACAUUUUUAUUUACCUUUCGUCUUACUACAUUGUUAGUCACUGACCUCUUUUUGUAGCUUUGGGCCUUGUGGUGCAUUCACUGAAGUCAGUAAUUGCCCACUGGGAACUAUUUUUAAUAGUUCUCACGCCCCUGUUUUAUGGUUUACUUUUCAGAGCCUUCGGCACCGGCGGAGGCACGGGAUCGCGGCAAGGGGAUCGCUUAGCUAGCUAGCGAGGAGCGGUUCUUUGCCUAGGUGGUUUGCUCUUUCUUUUUGUAGUUGGGAGAGUGAGAGAUUUUGUAUCCAUGUGUAGAGACCACCUAUGUACCUACUUUUAGCACUUGUAUUUGGGAUUUCCUAUUGUAUUUACUUUAUGUCUUAUUUAGUGAAUUUACAGUUUUAUCCUUAUUUCUUGUUGUAGCAUUUAGACAUUUAUUACGCUCUGAUACACCUAGAUGUCUUUUAUUAUGGCUUUAUUAUUGUUGUUUUUAGACGCCUUAUAUGUUGUAGACAUAUGGCGGGUCUGGGCACGCGCCGGGCGGGCUUCCGCUGGGUCCCGGGGCGUGACAGAUUAAUUUGGUAUCAGAGCCUAGGGUUGAGUCUUAGGGGACCUAGCAAAUCUUAGGCCGGUUGGACUAUAGGAAAUAGGCUCGUGAGAGACGAGGUCUAUUUGAUUUGUAAGCGAAAGUAUCUUGAUUGGGUAUCUUUGAUAACUCUUGAAUAUGGAGUUAAAUUGAAGUGUAUAGCUCCUAACUCCGCGGAGGGGUACGUUGGCGGCCGACAACAUAACAUCGGGAGUUAGUGGUGAGGAACACUUCCUUACUUUCACAUGAUUUGGGUAUUGUCUUUUGAGCGAGGAUGCGUUCGCGUGGGUUUUACUAACUUACGCUUUUAUGAUAUUGUAGUGACGAUGCCGAUUACUCGCUCCCAAUCUGCCGGGGCGGACAAUGCGGCAAACCUUGAGGAGGUCGAGACCUCCGCUACCUCCGGAUCCAGCGAGGUCCGCGAGUUGAGGGGCCAGUUUGCGGCCCUCACUGAUUUAGUCACUCAGCAGGCGGAGGCGGCCCAACAGCAGACCGAGGCGGCGCGCCGACAGGAGGCGCGGAUGAAGCGUUUGGAGGACCUACUACUGCAGCAGACAGCGGCUUCUAGGGAGACUCAGGCCCCUACACCGCCAGCACUAGUUGUGGACGUUGCACCGAGAACGCCGUCCCCCGCGCCCAGUUCUUCGCGUGCGCGCCUGUGGCCGCACCCCAGGAGGAGGUCUUGGCAGCACCACCUGUGCAGAGGCCCCCAGUUGGAGCAGCUUUCCCUACUUUGGUUGAGGGGGCGGAGUGAGAUAGACUGAUGGAGCGCCUCAAUAAGUUCAGGAGGUGCAGCCCCCGAGUCUUCGACGGCGAGAAGGUCGACCACUGGAUCGUGGAGAAGUGGUUGAUGCAUAUGGAGAAGCUCUUCCGCGACACCUUCGUGGAGGAGAGGGAUCGAGUUUGGCUCGCCAUCACCACUUGAUCGAGCCUAACCGCUAGUGGUUGGAUCUCCAGGAGAACCCCAGCACGGACUUGGCAGCUAUCACUUGGACGAGGUUCAAGGAGCUUCUUUUGGCGCACUACUUUCCGACCAGCGUCAAGAGGAAGAUGGAGCAGAAUUUGCGCAGUUUGCUCCAGGGUGACAGGACCGUAGCCGAGUACGAGAGGGAGUUUUCUCGGCUUCUGCAUUGCGUGCCCUUCGUCGUGCGUGACGACGAGGACAAGGCCCGCAUCUUCGAGCGAGGAUUGAGACCGUCUAUCUUCCGGUUUGUGCAAUCAUCUAACCUCCAAACCUACCGGGAGGUGGUGGAUCGCGCGCUCAUUAUGGAGAGCGGCACGGCGGAUUUCUAGGAGCAACGAGAGACUAGGGACAAAGGGAAGGCCAAGAGGCCUGCGGCUGAGGGUGCGAGCCAGACGCACUCUAGGAGGCCGCCGAAACAUUCGAGGAGCCAGCAGCGUGGGCGCAGCUCAGCAGCCCAGCGAGGAGGUUAUGACCGACGUCGGCCCUCCCCGUGUGUGAUCUGUGGUGGUCCUCAUCACCCACCGCAGUGUCCACAACGGGCGGGCAGGUGCUUCCAGUGUGGCCAGGAGGGCCACAUGCGGACUGAGUGCCCGAGAGGUUCUUCACCGGCACCAUCGACUGCAUCGGCACCGGCUUUACCAGCCGCCAGCCAGGGGACUCCGUCAGCGCAGUAUCAGCUUGGGCAGCCACCCGUCCAGCGCCAGAGCGAGGGAUCUCGACAGGCCCCGAGUGGGCGCAUAUACGCCGCUCAGACUGCGGAGGCGGCUGCAGUCGAGGAUGUGGUUGCAGGUAUUAUUUUACUUGAUGGCAUUAGAGUUCGUGCUUUAUUUGAUACCGGUGCAUCGUAUUCAUUUAUCGAUAGGCUGUUUGCCGAGUUGCAUGGCAUUCAAUUGGUUCCUUUGUUGCAUACGAGACAUGUUGUUGUCCUCGACCACGUUUUGGAUAUUAGAGAGUAUAACCCCAGUUGCCCUGUUCGGGUAGGAGAAUGGAUCAUGCCCGUGGAUUUGCUAGCCUUGCGCAAGCUGGGGGACUUUGACGUGGUCUUGGGCAUGGAUUGGUUGACCAAGUACUAUACCACGAUUGAUUGUAAGAAUCGCACGGUUACUUUUAGAGAACCGGGGCAAACCGAGGUGGUAUUUUGUGGAUGCCGGAGUUCGCUGUUUGCGACGACGAUCAGCUCGUCUCGAGCUAGGCAGCUGAUCAGCAGAGGUUGCGUAGCCUAUUUGGCUAGUGUUGUGUUGAGGGGCGAGGAUGAUACCCUUAGGAUUGAGGAUAUUCCGGUGGUGCGAGAGUUUCAGGAUGUGUUUCCAGCUGAGCUACCGGGUAUGCCUCCUGAUAGGGAGAUUGAGUUUGUGGUAGAUCUCGUCCCUGGGACUACCCCAAUCUCAAUGGCACCCUAUAGGAUAGCACCGGCGGAGCUGAAGGAGCUGAGAGCAUAGCUACAGGAUUUGCUGGACAAGGGCUUUAUUCGCCCGAGCGUCUCGUCUUGGGGAGCACCAGUUUUGUUCGUCAAGAAGAAGGACGAAUCGCUUCGCCUUUGUGUGGAUUAUCGUGAACUCAAUAAAGUCACGAUUAAGAACAAAUAUCCGUUGCCGAGGAUCGACGACUUGUUUAAUCAGCUUCAGGGAUCGUGUGUGUAUUCCAAGAUAGACUUACAGUCUGGAUACCACCAAUUGAAGAUUAAACUCGAGGAUGUAUCGAAGACGGCUUUUAGAACACGGUAUGGACAUUACGAGUUCACAGUUAUGCCGUUCGGGCUUACUAAUGCCCCGGCAGCUUUUAUGGAUCUAAUGAACCGUGUUUUCAAGCCUUAUCUAGACAGGUUCGUUGUGGUGUUCAUCGACGACAUUUUGGUCUACUCUCGAAGUGAUGCAGAUCACGAGGAGCAUUUGAGAAUUGUACUCCAAGUACUUCGGGAAAAGGAGCUUUAUGCCAAGUUGAAGAAAUGUGAAUUUUGGCUUCGAGAGGUAGCCUUCCUUGGACACUUGAUUUCAGGAUCAGGUAUAGCAGUGGAUCCCAAGAAGAUCGAAGCAAUCAAGGAUUGGCCGAGACCGACGAGCGUCACGGAGAUACGGAGCUUCCUUGGAUUGGCCGGUUACUACCGGAGAUUUGUAGAGGGGUUUGCUAAACUGUCUACUCCCCUCACGAGGCUCACACAUAAAGGAGUCAAGUUCAUUUGGAAUGAUGCGUGCGAGCGAAGCUUCCAAGAGUUGAAGUAGAGAUUGACGACCGCCCCGAUCUUGACCCUACCAGUAGCUGGAGCAGGGUAUGUGGUUUAUAGUGAUACUUCACUUAUUGGAUUGGGCUGUGUAUUGAUGCAGGAUGGCAAGGUGAUAGCGUAUGCUUCUCUCCAACUAAAAGAAUAUAAAAAGAACUACCCGACGCAUGAUUUGGAGUUGGCAGCCGUGGUGUUCGUGUUGAAGCUAUGGCGCCACUAUUUUUAUGGCGAGCGGUGUGAGGUGUACACGGAUCACAAGAGCUUAAAGUACCUGUUUACUCAGAGGAAGUUGAACUUGAGGCAGCGCAGAUGGUUGGAGCUACUCAAGGAUUAUGAUCUGACGAUCCUUUACCACCCGGGCAAGGCUAACGUGGUGGCGGAUGCGCUAAGUAGGAAAUCGAUGAAAAACUUAGCGUUGCAUGUUGUGACUCAACCGCAGUUGAUUGAGCAGAUAAAGCGGUUGGAGUUGGAGAUAGUGACUCCUGACAAACCCUUGAGAUUGAUGACCUUGGUGGUGCAACCUACUCUUUUGGAUAGAAUCAAAGAGAAGCAAGUUUCCGAUUUGGACUUGCAAAGGAUUCGAGGUAAAAUGGUUGAUGGAUGCACCGGCGACUUCCUUUUGGAUGAUCUGGGAUUGAUGCGUUUUCGUGGGCGGAUUUGUGUACUCGCGGAUUCGGGGAUUAAAGAAGACAUUCUUCAAGAAGCGCACCGGGCGCCCUAUGCUAUACAUCCUGGUGGCAUCAAGAUGUAUAAGGACUUAAAGUUGCUCUAUUGGUGGCCCGGGAUGAAAAAGGAUGUUGGCGAGUUCGUUGUUAGAUAUUUAACUUGCCAACAAGUGAAAGCGGAGCACCGAGUUCUCGCAGGGAAGCUUCAGAGUUUACCUAUUCCUGUGUGAAAGUGGGAGAAUAUCACCAUGGACUUCGUGACAGGAUUGUCUCGCUCACAGGCUGGGCAUGAUGCUAUUUGGGUGAUCGUGGAUAGGUUAACGAAGUCGGCGCACUUCGUGCCUGUUCAUACGACUUGGACCGGAGAGAAGCUCGCACAAGUGUACCUUGAUGAGAUUGUGCGACUUCAUGAAGUGCCUACAUCGAUUGUAUCUGAUCGCGACACGCGUUUUGUGUCUCACUUUUGGAGAACUCUGCAGGACGCCUUAGGCACCCGAUUGGAUUUCAGUACAGCAUGCCACCUGCAGAGUGAUGGACAGUCGGAGCGCACUAUACAGGCCUUAGAGGAUAUGCUCCGGGCAUGUGUGAUAGACUUCUAGGGAGGAUGGUCGCAGCAUCUACCUAUGGCGGAGUUUGCUUAUAACAACAGUUAUCAAGCAAGCAUCAAGAUGGCGCCCUUCGAAGCACUUUAUGGACGGAAGUGUAGAUCGCCGCUUCAUUGGAGUGAAGUUGGCGAGAGACUGGCUUUAGGCCCUGAUGUGCUCCAGGAAGCUGAGGACAAUGUUCGCAUUGCUCGUGAGCGACUUGUGACGGCGCAGAGUAGACAAAGGAGCUACGCCGACCGACGACGGCGAGACUUGGAGUUCCAUGUAGAAGACCAUGUUUUCUUGAAGGUCUUGCCGACUAGAGGAAUCAAGAGAUUCGGGAUUCGGGAAAAGUUGAGCCCCCGUUUUAUUGGACCGUAUGAGGUUUUGGAGCGUGUAGGUCCGGUAGCGUAUCGACUUGCUCUACCGCCGAACCUAUCGGGCGUACACAACGUCUUUCAUGUAUCGGUCCUUCGAAGGUAUAUUCAUGAUCCAGCUCACGUUUUGGAGACUAUACCAGUGGAACUGCGUGAGGAUUUGAGCUUUGAGGAGCAACCAGUGAAGAUUUUGGCUCGCGAGGUGAAGAAGCUGCAGAAGCGGGAUAUUCCAUAUGUGAAGGUACUUUGGAGCAACCACGGGGAGCGAGAGGCCACGUGGGAGCUGGAGAGCGCUUUGCAGGAGCGCUAUCCCCAUCUUUUUCAGAUGGAGCCUUAAGGUAUGCUUUUUCUUUUGAGUUUCGCGGACGAAACUCCUUUUUAGGAGGGGUGAAUGUGACGCACUGGACCUCGCAAAUUGUGGGGUUCGAGUGAUUGAUUGUGUUCUGAACUUUUCCAGACUUUCUGGUGGGUCGUUGACAGUGUUCGGACCUAUGGUUCGAGUCCCGAGAAUUGUGGUUUAAAGCUGUGUACCAAAAUCCAAAAAGUUAGAUUUUUGGUCAGCUCUCGGGAAGCCUGCAGCAGGCUGUGUACCGAUACGGGCUUGGUGGCUGUACCGGUACAGGGUUGAUGGCUGUACCGGUACGGGACCGCGUACCGGUACACAGACGAUUUUGAGGCAAACCCGAGGCUCGGGUUUGGCCAUUUCGUGGGUUGUGUACCGGUACACAAACCCGUAUACCGGUACGCAGUGCAGAUUUUGGCCGUUUCGUGGACGGGUGUUUUUACAAUUGUUGUAACCUCUAUUUAAGCACACCCCAGCCCCUUGGGGGCUGUUUUGAGCCCUAGAACAGUGGAGAGCAAGGUAAGAGGAGUUCCUUUGAUUUCUUCGCCAUUUUUGUUGGAUUUUGGCUGGUUUUGAUCCCUCCUCUCUUCUCCACCUUGCUUUUUGUUGGGUUACCACCAUUGUUGAAGGCUUGGAACUUAGAGAGGAGCUUGUUUGAGAGGAGAUCUUCAACUCCACUUGGCUUGGGACUUGGUUUUCAGUUUCUUGUGAGGUUAGUAAGCCUAAUCUUUCCUUUGGAUUAAGUUUGGUAGCUUCUACUAGAUCAAACCUCAGAUUUGACAUAUUAGGGCUAAAAAUAGAGAUUUUUUAUUUGAGGGCUUUGGAACCAAAUUGAUGGGUUUAGAACCUUUGUUUAGGUUAGAUUGGAAGGACUCUAGUUCCCAUUUGGAGAUCGAGAGAGCUUCCUUCGCAAUCGGUGAGUUUUCUUCAACCCUAGCCCUAAAUGGUUAAUGAUUGAGCUUAGCGUCAUUCGUUUCGAUUGGGUGACACUUGUUUUCAUACCUCUAGGAUACUAGGAGGCUAGAGGACACCCUCGUCGGAGCAAAUGAAGGGUUUCGUUUACCGUUGGUGGGUUUGACUUCAUGAAAAUGGGGCGAAAUGGCCCCUAUGCUUUCUAAACUUUUCGUAAAGUAUUUUUGAAUGCAAAUUCAUGCUAAACAUGAUUUAUGUGAAUUUUAGAACACUUAAAAUGCAUACAUUAUGUAUCAUAAAAUUUACACUCUAUAUAGUGGAGCUAUAUGUGUAGAUUGCAUGCAUUGUAGAUUGUGUUUCGUUUCGCAAGUGAGAACAUGUCUCCAUACUAGAAUUGAGUGAAAUUGUGCAUCAUAAACAUAUUAAUACCAUGCUUGGACUCGUUGAACAAAAGUGUCAUAAAGGGGCACUUAAAAUUAGUAAACUGUGAAACUGCAACAUAGAGACAAAUUGAUAGGCCAUUAUACAUCUGCUAUAUUCCAUGUUAGAGACAUGAUGACAUAGAGAUAGGCCAUUGAGACACUUGAUAUAUUUCAUAUUUUUAGACAUGAGGACUUGGUACUUGAGACAGAUCAUUGCUUACUUGCCAUUGUGCUCAUUCGCACAUGCUUGUGAGGGUCGCUCCCUACAAGCCGGCACUCCGGAGAUAGCCAUCGCGACAUAUGCUCGCCCGUGCGGGAUUGGACGCCGAAGUGGAUUGCCGUGGGGGAGGCUCAUCCCUAGAGUGGGGAUGUUGACUACCACGGGGCCAUUAGGCACGGCGCAGGCCAGACAACCUUCGGGUGGGUCUUGUGAUUGAGACUUAGUGACAGAACAUGCUAUGUGAACUUUAAAACUAUUAAAGUGGACUUGGACUAGAAUAGUAAACAAUGACAUCUUUACUAUUUUUGCAUUGAGGACAUCGGAUUGGUUGCAUUUCUAUGCUUAUCCAUGUCAUACACAUCCAUGCACAUUCAUGUUAUCGUUGCUUUAUUACUUAUGCAAAUGAAGCUAAGUAGAGACUUUAUGUUAUAGUAAUUUACAUUUUUAUUUACCUUUCGCCUUACUAUAUUGUUAGUCACUGACCUCUUUUUGUAGCUUUUGGGCUUUGUGGCGCAGUUCACUGAAGUCAGUAAUUGCCCACUGGGAACGAUUUUUAAUAGUUCUCACGCCCUCUUAUUCGUUUCUUUCAGAGCCUUCUGCACCGGCGGAGGCACGGGAUCGCGGCAAGGGGAUCGCAUAGCUAGCUAGCGAGGAGCGAUUCUUUGCCUAGGUGGUCUACUCUUUCUUUUUGUAGUUGAGAGAGAGUGAGAGAUUUUGUAUCCAUGUAUAGAGACCACCUGUGUAUCUACUUAUAACACUUGUGUUUGGAAUUUUCUUUGUAUUACUUUAUGCUCUUAUUAGUGGAUUCCAGCUUUAUAUUUCUUUCCUAUUGUAGAACUUAGUAUUAUAUCAUACUCUGAUACUCCUAGAUGUCUUUUAUUAUUGUUUUAUUUAUCCUUGUUUUAGACGCCUUAUAUGUUUUAGACGUAUGGCGGGUCUGGGCACGUGCCGGGCGGGCUUCCGCUGGGUCCCGGGGCGUGACAAUAGUGGGCACCUUCGUUCGGCGAAACGAAGGGUUGCGGGAGUCACGGUGGGUUUGACUUCAUGAAACAGGAAAGAAAUGCCUCCUAUGUGUUCUAUAUUGGUUGUAUCUUCAAUAUAUUGUAAAACUUGCUUUAAUUUUUGAUAUUCUGUUGUGAUUUAUCUGGUAUUGAUAAUUUAUUGAGAUUCUGUUGGUACUGAUGUGUAUAUUGUUAAUGCUGAAUUCUUUGUAUUGUUGGAUUAACUUUGUUGUUGCGUUGUGAUAUUGUAUUGUACUGUUGUGCUGACCUCGUUGUGAAGUCGUAUUGUUGAUUGAUCUGAUGUUGUAUUGUACUGGGUAAGGGUUUGUAGUUGUAUUGGACACGAUGAAUGGUUCACCGUGUCUAAACACGGUGAACCAUUCACCGUGUCCAAUAGAACUACCUGUAAUUUAGCCACUUUUGGCUAAGGGCUAGGUAUUUGUAUUUGACAUGGUGAACUAUUCACCGUAUUUAGACACGGUGAACCAUUUACCGUGACCAAUGUGGUAUACGCUUACUGGUUUGGGGACGUAUAAUACAAUGGACACGGUAAACCAUUCACCGUGUUUGAACAUGGUGAAUGGUUCACCGUGUUCAACUUAAACACCUGGCCCCAGCCCUACUCGCGUGGUACUUACGUGGCGCCUACGUGGCAGGGGCAGAAUCAUUUUUGCAAUUUCAAAUUUGAUAGGGCUAUUUUUAAAAUAAAAAUUUCUCAGGAGGUUAUUUGCAAAAAAAAGCCCGUUUAAUAAGGUAGGGAUAUAAUAGAUAUUUUAAUUAGAUUUUAAUUCUGGUAUAUAUUUAACUCAUGUUUAAUCUCACUUAACUUAACAAGGAUAAUUGCAGGAGUAUUUUAUUUUAUAAUAACGAUAGAAUAUAUAUAGAAGCAAGGGGUAUUGCAGAAAGAAAUAAGAUCCGAAACUAGGGAUGCAAACGGAUCUGGGUUGGUGGAGCUCCGGCCCCGAUCCGCCCCGAAUGGGGCACUAAACGGGAGGAAAUAAACGGAUUCGGGACAGGAAACGGGGCAAUUUUUAUGAUCCGAGGCGGAUUCGGGGCAGGAAACGGGAAAAUUUUUGAUCCGCCCCGAAUCCCCUCCGAAUCUGCCACGAAAACUAUUUCUAUAUUUUUUUAAAAUACCCUUAAAAAAUGAUAUAUUUACAAAAAAAAACCCCAACUAUAUUAGCUCUCGUAGUCUCAUUUUGCAAACUUUGAAUUUUAUUGCGAAUUGUAAUUGAUAUUUUUGAUUUUUAUAGUUGAUAUUGUUAUUUAUAUAUAACUUGAUAAUAUUAUUAAUUAAUAUUAAAAAUUUUGUUGAUUUAUAUUUAUAAAAUGUUAAUAAUAUUAAAAUUUGUAAAACAAAUACUAUUUGGCGGGGCGAAUUCGGGGUGCCGGCGGGAGGCGGAUUAUGAGGUGGGGCGGAUCAUGGGAUAACUAUUUUCAGUCACGAAUUCCGGACAGGAGGCGAGACGGACUUUUCGUAGUCGGGCGGGGCUCCCAGCCCAAGAUCCGCCCCGUUUGCAUCCCUGGACCAAAACCUUUUUCAAUCAACAAUCCCUGUUCGGGAUUCCUCGUUCUAGGGUUUCACUCGUCUCUACGGCUGUCCGCCCGGCAGACUCCCCCAUCGAAACCCGUCUCUACGGCGGACGCCCUCAAGUAGGGCCCGCCGAUCUCUCGCUCUCCCUCCUCUCCCUCAGCCGCGCCCAUCAAAGCCAUCAACGCCGCUGCCGCCUCGCGUCGAAGUCGUCGGCGUCGACUCCCUGGUCGCUUUCUGGUUGCCGCUUUGAACCGGUUGAGAAGCGGAACCAAAAAACCGUCGCACGUCGGAACCGUUUCCGGGACCGGUUCUGAUUUGUCCGCGUCGUCGGAUCGGUUUCAUCCCCACGAGUACUAGUAGCGGCCAUUAUUUCGUAUAUCCGAACUGAAGAACUCGAUCGACGAUCAGAGGCAUCGACGGCUCCAACGCUGAUCCCACACGUCAUGGACGGGAUGAACGUCCACGACGAGGAUCCAUCGGAGGUAUCUAUCUAUCUAUCUAUCUAUGCAUUUGUCUAUCCAUCCACCCGUCUCUCCAAUCCCGGUCGCUUGCUCUCUUUAGACAACUGCGCCUUAGAUAGUUCGUACCCUGUUGGAGGAAGGGGAACUCUAGGAUUUUUGUUGGUCCUACUUUCCUGCGCAGGACGUGGAGGCGAGGACGAAGCGGCCCAAGCUGAGCGACGAGGAGGAGAUGGUUCCCGCCGACUCUGGAGGAGGUACUGCAGGUUGUUCUUUCCCAUGUCACUCUUUCCUUCCUUCUCUGUGCAUUAUCGCCGGUUUUAUUGAUCUAUUUUGUGCCAUCAUAUGGCUUGCCGGUACGUGUCAUCACAUCUGACGUGUGGCUUCUCUAAAGCUUUGUUAGUGGCUCUCCGUCCUCUUUGGUUUGAGAAUGAGUACCACAAUCUUCGCCUAUUGUCCGCCAUCGUAAUUUUCAUACAAACCGAAGAACUUGCAUUAUUCCAGUGUUAGAGGGCAGGGGAGCUAAUUUUCAUACAAACCGAAGAACUUGCAUUAUUCCAGUGUUAGAGGGCAGGGGAGCUAAAAGUAAGAUGCAGAUCAGUACUGUCUUGUCCGGAUGAUCAAAAUAACCAUAUUGUCUGCUCUCCCCUUGCAUCUUUAUACUAAUUUCCCAUGGUGUUACAAUAGCAAGACUCAACCUACCGGUGCCGUUUUCCUAAAGCGUGCACCUAUCUCUCUGCCUAUGACUUUGUUGUCCGUUUUGGUCCAAAACCAGCUAGCUGAUCUUGGCUGCAGCCUGCAGCAUCCAAAAGGUCGCCAAAAUGUUUUGCCAAACUCUCCAUUGGAAGGUGCUCCUAAAGCAAGCGCCGAUACCCGAUAGAAGCUAGCUCAACCGGGCCAGGAUGCCACAUUGCAAUCUUUCUAACACGGUCUCAGUAUUGGAUAGUGUGUCCUUUGCCGACUGUUGUAAUCUUUAACUAUAUAAUUUGACAGUUCCUACAAAUCAUACGUGGCAUGCCUCCCUAUUCUCCAUUCCACGUGGCAAAAAAGCUCUCACCCCACUUCUGCUGUGGGCCCUCUCUCUCUCUCUCUCUUCCAUAUUCUCUUACUCUCUCUCUCUUCCUCCACUCUCUCUCUCUCUUUUCUCCUAAUCUCUCUCUCCUCUCCUCGCCUGCACCUGGCGCACUCUCUCUCUUCCCUCCUUCCCAUCUGGCGCUGCCCCUCUCCCUCUCUACGACCCUCUCUCUCUCUUCCCCCCUGCUCCUAGCUAAGCCUCUCUCUCUUUCCCCCUCUCCUCGAGCUGGUGCUCUUCCUCUCCCCCUCUCCUCCACCCGAUCCUCUAUCAGCGGCGGCAUGCGCGGGCCAUAUUUUGAUGUUGGUCGAGUCACGCCGCGGGCACUUGAGCGCCGGCUCUAGCUGCGGAAUCUUUGCGAGACGAGCGCAGUUUGCCGUCGAGCCAGGCCGGGCAGGGUUGCCGGUUUUUCCAAUCCUCCGACCGCGCCCGACCGCGCCCGACCGCAUCUUGGCGCCCGAUUCGGCUCGCCAUGUCAUCACCCGCCCUUCACGCGCGCGACAUCCCCCGCCCUUCACGCGCGCGACAUCCUCCGCCCGAUCCUCCUCCUUAAAUCGCGCCUUAGCUCUCCCCCUCUCCCCCGCGCCGGCCCCGCCUCCUCUCCUCUUCCCCGCCUCGCGACCAAAACCCUAAUCGCCACUCUCCGCCGCCAUGGGCUCCGUCUCCGCCGCCGCGGAGGCGCUCCCGCUGCUCCGAUACCCCGCCGCUCGCCGUGACGACUCCGUCGUCGACGACUACCACGGCGUCCGCGUCGCGGACCCCUACCGAUGGUGGGAUGCUACGUAGCCCUUCCCCUCUUCCGUAUCGCCUGCGAGAAGCGCUUUCGCUUCUAGGGUUUUGAUUUCGGGCGCUUUGGAACGCAGGUUGGAGGAUCCGGACGCGGAGGAGGUGAAGGAGUUCGUGGAGAAGGAGGCGGCGCUCACAGACUCUGUGCUGGCGCAGUAGGGGGAGAGGGAGAAUCUCCGGAGGCAGAUCACGACGUUGUUCGAUCACCCGCGAAAAGACACCCCCUUCAAGCGCGGGGGCAAGUACUUCUAUUUUUACAACUCCGGUCUCCAGGCCCAGAGCGUUCUUUAUGUCCAGGUAAUAUGUUGAUUAUGGAUUAAUUGAAUGUUUCUCGGCGAUAUUUCCGUGUCCUUUUGAUGAUUUGGAGCUUUAAGACUCAUUUUAGGACCUCUUAGAUUGUUAGAAUGUGGUUUCUGUCAUUGUAGAAUGAUUUAAUGAUUUAGAGCUUUAAGUCUCAUUUUAGGACCUCUUAGAUUGUUAGAACACCCUGAGGCCCCGAAGAAGAUAAAUAUAGUAGAAGAAGCCCUAGCUUCUUCCUCUUUCUUAUUAGAUUUUUUCAGGGUUAUGGUGGAGAGAUGGUGGAGAAUCACAUUCAGAAGCAGUUCCUUUGAGAGAGAGAGAGAGAGAGAGGGGAAAGGAGGGAUGUCUUCUUUUUAGCUCUUGGUGGUUUUUAUAUAAUAAAUGGUAGAGUUGGCUAAAUGGGUAGUGAGUGGAAGAAAUUCCUUUGCCUGGAAGGCUUGAACUAUUUAAGCUUCUAAAUAGUGUUGCUGAGAGAGAAGCACUCCAGGAGCUUUUAGUGGCAUCUAGAACAGAGGAGCAUACAUGGCUCCCUUUAUUUAUUUAUUUAUUUUUUUCUUUUGUUACUCUUUUCCCUCUUCUCUGUUUUCUUCUUAUCUAUACUUUCAUUCCUUCUAUUUUUUGUUUUUUAUUUUUUUCUUAUGUUUUUCUUCUUUUUUUCUAGAUGUGUUGGUGUAGGUGCAAAAUUGAGAGAAUUGGAAGGACCAUGGUAGCGGCUUUGCCGCUGUUAAUUGAGAGAAUUGGAAGGACCAUGGUAGCGGCUUUGCCAGCAAUAGCGGCAGACAGCAGGGCCGCAGAGGCGGCGUCGACGCCAAUCGCCUUGCCUCACCUCACCUCGAUCUCGCCUCGCCAUUAAGGGAUUUUAGUAUCUGCUUAGUUCUUAUUACUAUGGACAUCUCAUAUACCCACAACAGAGAAAAAAAAAUUAAAUUUAAAAAAAAAACUAAAGAAAAAGAUGACUUCUAUAGAUGGCACUAAGAUAGAUCUUUAUCCAGAUCUACACAUUUUUUUUAAGAUGAAAAUAUAACAAAAUGUUGAAAUUAUUGGUGGAUAGGGAUGUAAUGUGGGCCGUGCCGGGCCGGCACGACCCACAUUUUCCUGGCCGAAACGGGCCGGGGGGCAGCCCGGCACGGCCCGGCCCCAAAAUCGGGCCGUGCCGUGCCGGGCCAAAUUUUUUGCAACCCGGCCCAGCACGACCCCCGGCCCGGACUGCACGGGCCGUGCCGGGCCGGGCCGGGCUUCGGGCCAGCCCUUUUUGUUUUAUUAAUUUUAUUUAAAAAUAUUUAAAUUUUUUGAAAAAUAAAAAUAUUAAUAUUAAUAUUUUAAAAAAUAGUAUAUAAGUAAAAAAAUUAAAAUAUAUUUAUAAAAAUAUUAAAAUUUUAAAUUUUAAAAUUAAAUAUUUAAAAAUUUUAAAUUUUUUAGACAAAAAUACAUCCUAACAGUCAAAUUUUUGACUGUUGGGAAGGGCAUUUUAGUCCAAGCCUCUCCCAAAGCCACACCCAACUCUCAUUUGGGAGUCCAAACCAGCCCAACUCCCAAAGCAUUGGGAGUUGAGUGCUGCAGGUCUUGGCAAGGUUGGGUUGCCCAACUCCCAAGGUUGGGUUGGGUGUUGGUGCUGCAGAGCUGGGCCCGGCUCGGGAGUGCUUGGCCACACGGGCCGGGCCGUGCGCGUGCCGCCGGGCCUGGGUACCCUCUAGGCCCGGCACGCCUAAACCUAUGUCGUGCGGGCCGUGCCGGGCCAUCGGGCCGUGGAGAGAAGCCCAGCACGGCCCAAUUAACUGGUCGGGCCGGGCCGCACGGCACGCUACAGUGCCGUGCCGGUCCUGCCCGCCACUCUCGUGCCAGGCGGACGGCCGCGGCCGCCCGCCGUUGAACACCCCUAUUGUGGAACAUAUGAUUAAACAUAUUAUGUGUCAUGUUAAUUUUUAUAUUUUAAGAUGAAAAGAAAUAGUGAGAUUGUGUAUUGAACAUAUGAUCCAGCUGUGUACUGGUUGAAACGUUCUAAUAUCUCAUAUACCCUCAAUAAAUAAAAAGAAAAAAAAGAGAGGCCUAGAGUAUAACUUCAUAACUUCUUAUCUGAUUUUAUUUUAUUUUUUCUGUUAUUAUGUUUUUUAAUUAUUUUUUUCCUCAACAGGAAAGUUCAAAAAGUCUUUUUAUAAUAAAAAGUAUUAUUAUCUAGGUGAACCUCUGAUUAUUUUUUUUCUACUCAUAUAUCCAUUUUACUUUAUUUAAUUUUAAUUUUUUUAACCAUAAUGUAAAAUUAACCGCAAAAAUAUAAUAUCUAAGGUGAAUCUCUUUUUUGUUAAAUAGAAAUGCUCACAUGUUCCAAAACUCAAAAAAGAAAAAUACAAUAUUUAGGUAAACUUCUUUUUGCCUACUUUUUUUUAAAACUAUAAUUUAUUUUAUUUUAUUUUUCUACUUAACUGUUUAUAUAAUUUUAUUUAACUAUGAUAAUAAAUUAAUCGUUACCGCAGCGAAGACGCGGUUCUAUACUAGUAUAUACUAAUUCUUAGUCAAGUGCUGCAGAGAGUUCCCCAAUUUGUCACGUCCUUUACUCUGUCACGUCCUUUACUCUGUUAUAGAUUGCUAGCUAAUGUUAACAUCUACUUAUCUUUUUGGGGAAGCGUGUAUACCGGUGAGAUUGUAAAUUGCUUGGCUGAAAAGAAUGUGUCUGGAAAAUCAGAGGCAGUAGAAAUUGUUUGACAACCAUAACCACUAUUUGACAAUAUCAUUGAUUGCAUGUUGCAAUGGGUGUGCGAGCGAGUAAGCUAUUCAUGAAGUUUAGCGUGACUAGUUACCGGAUUUCAAAUCCUACAUAAGGUGAGGAAUGCUGGAUGCAGUAGGAAUCGAGAUAUAUUCCUUGCCUUUCGGAUACUUCUUCUAAGUUUCUUUCCUCGAAAAGGUUAUUCAAAUUCUUACUUUCCUUUUACGUUAACCUUAUACUUUUGUUUUAAUUGAUUUAUGUACGAAGGUCUUUCAUGUGCUGCUGUAACUCAAGCUGAAAAUAUGGAUGCCGAAUCUAGUGCAACUUGCAGUGCUAUUGUGAGAUUUGCUGUCCUUCAUCGCCUUUUCUGCUGAAACGAAUUUACUUCCAUUUUAUAACAUUGCACGCUGAGGGAGUAUGAUUUAAUUCAUUACAAUAUGAACGAGUUUCUAAAAUGACCUUUAGAAAAUUUUCUUUUAUUUUUAGCAUAAUAAUUUUCUGUUAUAUGAAGCGGAGAUAACGUUUUUGUGCUUGUCUUACAUCUUUGCAGGCUUACCAGCCUUAUGAGGACAUGUCUAAAAACAUCAGACUUUAGCGUCAAGAUGAUGCCAUGGUUCUGCAUUCUUUCCUUUUCUCUAAGUGAUGAUUUCAUUUCAGUUUUUGUCUUCAUCGGUGCGUUUAUACUGACGAAUGGCAUUUUCUUCUUGAAUUUGACUUGUUGCUAAUUAGUCUACAGGCACGCCAUUUAGAAGCGAAAAAAGAUAAAAUUUAUUUUUUCCAGUUAUUUUCUUUAUUACAGGAAAGUAAAAAAGAGUAUAUAAUUAAGUGGGUCAAGUUCUUAACUUUUGAGUAAUGGUUCCGACACUUCUUUGAUUAUUCAAAAUUUGAUUAAUGGUUUGUUUGAGCAUAAGCUAUAUUUACUUACGCUAAAAGAUUUGUUUUGACUUAAGUUUGUUAUAAAAUAAGCCCCACUAGCACUAACGUAGAGAAGUUUUAUGAAUGAAUUGAUUGGACAAGCUUCCUAUCUUCGUCCUCUUUUAGCAUUCGCUAUAUUUUUGAGAGGCUUAAUAGUUCUUUUUGAAAUUUGAUUUGCAUAAAUAUGAUAUUAGAAAUUUGGCCUGCAUCAAUUUGCUAUUUUACAUGCAAGUGUUUAGUUAAAACAUGCCAUGCUGUGCUCACACUUGGUACGAAAAUGGCUUGCAACUAGCGGGCUUGUUGAAGCUCCAAGCUAAGUAGAGAAAAGUAGUGGCUACAAUAUGUUUUCAGUCUUUCUUUCCUUCGUGGGAAUUCUUAUUCUACGAGCAUGAUUUUCAAGGGAAGUUAUGAAUUAGGCCUAUCUGUAGGUCAAUGGUAAUGUUCUGUAAAUUUGCAUAUAUUGCUGCAGAUGUGGUUUGGAGUAGCGAUUGCCCUACAUAUGCAAUAUGCAGUGCGGCAUGCUGAUAGGCUUCGUAUAAGUGAGCAACUGUUUGUGCAUUUUUUUUAAGUUGGGAUUUGAGUGUAGGAUUGAAUGGGAUUGUCUAGUUAAUGAUUAGCAUGGAGGUAUGACUACUCUAUCACAAGUUUGAGUAAUUAUUAAGCACAUAAACAUAUACUAUGUUUGUAUGAACAUAACCUAUAACAUUGGUUAAUAUGGCUAGCUGUAGCAACAGAGUGGUCCAAACAUCUUUACUCUAAAAUAGAAUAGACUCUUAAGAAUUCUUAUAAUAUAGGUUUUUAGCAGGCUAAAGAAGAUUCAAUAUUUCUCUCCUUUUCUUUGUUCUCCUCUCGGCUUUAUCAACAACCAAGAAUUUGAAAGUAAACUAAAUUGGUUGCACGCUAGUUGGUUUAAUGGAAGGAAGAGUUAGAUAGGUGGCAACUAUCUACUAGGCAAAAUUGUUUAUGAAGGGCAUACAACUAAAAAGAAAUUUGUGCACAUAGGUAUACCACAUCCUGCUCUCUUUUUUUUUAGUUUGUCUACCUUUGUCCUUAUAGCUGUGACUGUGAUCUCUAGCUCAUGUUGUUGAUGUGUUGAAUCUCUUAUCAUAUUUCAAAUUAGGGUUCCUUGAUUUGUCUUUUGAUCUAAGUCGAAAUUUUCUUCUCAUUGUACUCUUGAUCGCUAAUCUGGAUUACUUGUGAAGUUUUGUAAGAACUUCAAUAUCUGACUUGGGUGCUACACUCUAAGGAGAAUCCAUCUUCUUAAGAGCAUUUGAUUUGGUAGGCAUUAUCAAACAUGAGCAUUUGGAUGUUUGGGAUAUUAAAUGUACUGUGGGCAUGAAAAAAAGAAGGAACUAGUUGGGCAUCAUCCAAGCAUAGACUAGGUUGGAGUGCCUCUUUCGACUUUGUUUCUCUUGGCUUUUGACGACCCAAAACCUAACAAGAAAAACAAAUUUAACUUAGUGAGGGCUGGAACCCAUCCUUCAUCUUGAACGUAGACCUCGUGGUUCACCCCAAGUGCCUACUUUCUAUUUGGCUUGUUCAGUUUGCAUAAGCAAUCUAUUUUGUCACUGUCUACUUGAUCCUAUGGAUAUGAGAGACUGCUUAUACAUUUUUGUGGUGCGACUUGGAGGUUGCUCUUGCUUAUGUAGUAAAAUGCAGGAUGACAUGGAGUACCUUUUUCGAUAUGUUGAUAAAUGGUAUUUUGUCUUUUAUAGAUGAUAUAGUUUUCAAUGAGAAAUAAUUUUAAAACUAUGUUUAUUUCUUUUAGAAAUUUUCUUCUAUUUUUAGUGUACUCUUUUAAAUAUGUGAUUAGCGGAUAACAUUUGUUUAUUGUCUUAUAUUUUUUCAAGCCCAUCAAUCUUUGGAGGAAAUGUUUGAAACGUCAAAUGUUGCUAACAACAAUGGCGAUACGGUUUUUCUUUACUUUUUUCUUUUCAAUUUAAGUGAUGAUUUUCUUUGCAAUUUUUGUCUUCCAUGGUGCACUUAAGGUUGACCUUUUGCUAAUUUUGAAAAUAAAUAGAACAUAAAUUAUUCUAGUAAUUUUAAUUAUUUUUGCAGGAAAUAUUAAAUCCAAUUUUUUGUUGGAUGAUUUAUUUAAAUUUUCAUAAUUAUUGGUUUUGGAUAAGCCAUAAUCUCUUCUUUUAGUGGAUUUCAUAUUAUUAAAAUUUUGAAUAAUAGUUGUUUUUGGAUAAGAUAAUAGUGUUAACGGGAUUUAUUUUGAUUUAGAUCUAUUAUAAAUAAUCUAUACUUAAGGUAUUGUAGAAAGCUAACAAAUUGAGUUUUAGAAAUUAGUUUUACAUAAUCCAAUUGUGUCCCCUGGAUCAGUCGGCGGGCGUCAUCUCUCUCUUGCUAUGUUGUUCUUUUCUCUCUAAGAUUGGAUAUAGGCAAAGCUCUCUUUCUUUUGCCUUUUUUAUCAUUUAUUAGGCUGUACAUCGUUCCAGGUGACACUGAUCUUGAUAUGAAAACAUUUUCUCUAAAAGUGAGGUGAAUGGGUUGUAAUGGAGUAUGAGGAAUGGAUGGCUGGUUCAUUGAUGUUCAACAAGCUAUAAUUUUGGAUUCCUGUUGACGUGAUCAAAGAAAAUAUUUACCCUACUUUAGGGUCUAUGUAGGUUUUUUGACCAAAGGUCCAAACUUGGAUCUGACCUCUUUGCAUAAGCGAAUGUUUGUUUUUGAUCUGUUGUAGAUAAUCCCUACAUAUAUGCUACCGGUCGAUCAUGAACAGUCACGCCUCGGGACCCAGCGGAAGCCCGCCCGGCAUGUGUCCAGACCCGCCAUACGUCUAAAACAUAUAAGGCGUCUACAAAAAUUACGAUAAAUAAUGCGAUAAUAAAAAGACAUCUAGGACUAUCAGAGCAUAGUACAACAUCUAGAUUCUAAGAGAUAUAGAGUCAAAUAAAAGAGCUAACAAAUCCACUAAGAGUAACCAUAAAGUAGUACAUUGAACAUCCAAAAUACAAGUGCUAAAAGUAUAACAAUGGUGGUCUCUAUACACGGGUACAAAACCUCUCACUCUCAACUACAACAAAAAAUGAGAGUAAACCACCUAAUAAGCAAAAGAAACGCUCCUCGCUAGCUAGCUAAGUGAUCCUCUUCCCGCGAUCCCGUGCCUCUGCCGUUGCUGAAGGCUCCGAAAGAAAACCAUAAAAUAAAGGGCGUGAGAACUAUUAAAUAAUAGUUCCCGGUGGGCAAUUACUGAUUUCAGUGAAAAGCACCACUAGGCCCAAAAGAACUAAACAUGUAAGUGCGAUCAAGUAAGCAAUGUGAACAAGUCUUUAAACAUGAAUAUUUACUAAACCAUGAUGUCUCUACUUAGCAUGAUUUUGCAUAAGUAAAAUACUAUUCUAACAUGUAUGUGCAUAAAUAUACAACCAACAUAAUGUCCGCAAUGUAAAUAGUAAUAUGUCACUGUUUACUAUUCUAGUCAAUGUCCAAUUGGCAUACUAUGUCACUAUAGUUCCGAUCAUGUAGGACCUACACGUGGGUAGUCCAGGUUGCACCGUGCCUCGUGGUAGUCAACAUCCCCACUCUAGGAAUGAGCCUCCCCCACGGCAUUCCAUUUCGGCGCCUAAUCCCGCACGGGCGAGCAUGUGUCGCGAUGGCUAUCUCCGGAGUGCCGGCUUGUGGGAAGUGACCCUCACAAGCAUGUGUGAAUGAGCACAAUCGGCAAGCAAGCGUAAAAGUCCGUCUCAAGUCCCAAGUCAUCAUGUCUAAAACAUGAAAUGUAGCAUAUAUCUCAAUGGCCUAUCACUAUGCCAUCAUGUCUAAAACAUGGAAUAUAGUCGAUGUCCAAUGACCUAUCACUAUGCCUCUAUGUUGCAGUUUCAUAGUUUACUAAGUCGGGUGCCCUUUUAUGGCACUUCUAUCCACUAAGUCCAAGCAUGAGUUUAGAGUUCAAAAGCACAUAAUUCGAGUCAUUUUUAUCAUACGAGACAUGUUCCCAUCUUGCAAGAAAGAAUACUUCUCACAUGCAUGCAUAAUGCACAUAAUGCUCUACUAUAUAGAGUUAAAUUUUCAUGAUACAUAGCAUAUGUAUUUUAAGUAUUCUAAAAUUCAUAAAAAUUCUAUUUAGCAUGAAUAUGCAUGCGAUACGAUGAAACGAAAAUAUUUAACCACUUAGGGGAUGAUUUCCCCUAAUCCAAUGAAGCCAAACCCACCGUCACUCUCGCAACCUUUCGUUUCGCCGAACAAAGGUGCCCACUACUCUCCUAGCACUCUAAAGGUAUAGAAAAGAGAGAUAUACGAACGUUACGAACAAGACAUUGCUCAAACAUUAAGCAACACAAGCAAAGGUGAAGAAAACUCACCGAAUGCGAGGAAACUCUCUCGAUCUCCAAAAGGGAUUUAGAGUCCUUCCAAUCCAACCUAAACAAAGGUUCUAAACCCAUUAAUUUGGUUCCAAAACCCUCUAAUAAAAAAUCCCCAUUUCUAACCCUAAAUCUCAUUUCUAGGGUUCCAACAACAAAAAUCCUCCAAAACAUGAUCUAAAAGAGAGAUCAUGGGUACUCACCUCUCAAGAUGUUCCAAACCAAGCUUGGGAUGCACCAAGGUUGAAGAUCCUCCCUUUAUCAAGCUCCAACAAAAGCUUCAAAGCUUUUCCAAUGGUGAACACCCAACAUGAAGCAAAGAGAAGGAGAAAAGAGAGAUCAAAACUAGUUAAACCAAGCAAAAUAGGGCAAAAAUCCAAGGGAGAGGUCUUCACCUGGGUUCUCCACGAAAUAGGGCUCAAAGGAGCUCUCUAAGGGGCUGGGGCAACAUAUAUAGGGUUUGCAACAAUUGCAAAUACACCCCUCAACAAAAACUGCUCGCACUGCACUCUGUACCGGUACACGGGAAAGUGUACCGGUACAAAUCCUGCGAGACGACAAACCCGAGCCUCAGGUUGGCAGUUCACCACAUGUGUACCGGUACAACCAUCAAGGUGUACAGGUACAAAACCUGUACCGGUACAACCAUCAAAGUGUAUCGGUACACAGCCCUGCAGAAUGCAACCCGAGAGCAGUCUAAGUCCUCGGUGGCCUCAGUGCUAUUUUAAAUACUACAAUUCUCGGGAUACGAGCCAUAGGUCGGACCACUGUCAACGUCCCUCUAGAAUAUCUGGAAAAGCUCGGAACACUGAGCAAACACUCGAACCUUGCAAUUUGUAAAGGUCCAGUGUGUUACAUGAACUUAGGACAUUGUCAAUAGAAAGAUUAGAGAAAGGUUCAUAAUCCAUCAAUCAUCUCUCUGUGUCUGUGUCUCUGCCCAGUAUAUUUCUGAUGUUUAAUGUAUGUUUUCAUAAUAUUUGUGCAUCUUAGUAUUGUAUCUCUCAAUUUCAUUGUGUAUUCUAGUUUGCCUUUGUUAGUGAUUGCUGGUUAGUUCAACGAACUGCAACACCUAACUUCAUCGGCAGCUAUAUCUGAAGAUGAAUUACGAUACAACAAAAUGCAGUCAAGUAGGUGCGGAAUUUCUGAUGUAGGACUAGGAUAUAUAGGUGGUGAAGUCCUCAGCUACUUAAGUCCUAACAUCUUUAUCAAUGCAUUCGUAUUUCCCAGCCUUCUAAUAUAGAAAACACCACAAACCGCUAAAUCGUUGCAAUGGCUCUAAAUUUGCCUCUCACCAUGUCUUCUUAAUCCGGCGUAAAGCCUAUGGCAGACAUCCAACUAGCCCCAUAUUGCUCCAUGCCUUAAUACACCAACUAGCGUGUAAGGGGAUCUAGCCCACUAAUAUUACGAAGGUAGCGGGCUUUAGCCACACAGCCUAGAAUAGUUGUGCCGGUUAUUAGUAUUAACACUUAAGUCUGUACAAGCCCAAGUACCUUACUUUUCCAUGAGAGAUUAAAAACGUUUUAAGUAACAUAAGAUUCCCUUCUUUUUAUAGGUCAAAACUGUCACGCCCCGAGCCCCAGCGGAAGCCCAACGGGCGCGUGCACAGAUUCGCCGUGUACACUAAGCACCUCCGGUGCAUACAAGGCGUCUACAACAACAUGGAAAAGAAACAAUCCUAACAUGGCUAUCAGAGCGAGAGCAUAAGCCUACUAUAAGUACAUACAACUGGAAAAGAAGAAAACUAGUAAAUCUCUAAAUAAAUACAUAGUACAUCCUUUAACAAUAAACAAAAAGAAAGAUGUUGACGGGUCCAACUAUGAUAACACCGCAAAAGCUCUAGCUAGACGCUAACUCCUUAACACGAUCCCUAGCCUCUCCCGCUGCGGAAGGCUCUGAAACAAAAACAAACAACCAAUGGAGGUGAGAACUAUUAAACAAUAGUUCCCAAUGGGUAAGUCGCCGAGAGUGGUGAAAUACACCACUAGGUUAACUGAGGCAUGCUAACAUACAAAAUGUGAGUAACAUAAAGAUGACAAGUAAAUAAACAAAUUUAUUACUAAGUCAUGCCUCAACAUAAUAAUGUAAACUAAUAGAUAUGAUUUCCUAUUGUCACAUGCAUUAAGUAAAUGCAUAUGCAAGUUUACAUGCUCAUCAUUGUUAAACUUUAACAACAGAUUAAAGAACAAUACUUUUCAUUGUCAAUAUAAUCAUGCAUCUAUACUAAUCAACAUAGGUGUAGAUUUACUACCACGAAAGUUGUCAAUAUUGAUAAUGACUAACAUAAAUGUCCAUUUUCUAGAAAUGCAUCAAAAAGAGCCACGAGAUAGUAACCGACUAGUAUAUCCAUCUACUAUAUAUGCAUCAACUGCUGGUGAUGUACGAUGUCAAGUUUAAUUACAUUUAUCCAAUCAACGAGGGACUUACACGUGGUAAAGUCUCGGCUCGUGCCGUGCCUAAUGGCCCCGCGGUAGUCAACACUUCCCACGGCAAUCCACUUCGGCGCCCAAUCUCGCACGGGCGAUCUAUCGUCGCAAGGCUUCUCCGGAGUGCCGGCUUGUAGGGAGCGACCCUCACAAGCUUGUGCGAAUGAGCACAAUGGCAAGCAAGUGUGAUCAAUAGCAUGGUGUCCACAUUUCAAAUGCCCAAUCAUCAUGUCUAAAACAUGGAAUCACAACAUCGACUCGAAGGUCGGAUACUAUUUUAUUUGAGUUAUAACUCAUUCAAUUAACUAGGUAGGACUCUAUCAAUAUGCAUCGUAUCUCAAACACGUAAGGGUCCAUAUAACAUUCAAGACUCUGUCGGGUUUCACCCACUCUAUUUCUACUAUAGUCAAGAGAGUCAUUACUAAUGCCAUAUCCAAUGAAUCACAAGAAUGCUCACAAAAAUUAUAAUGUAUGCCAUAUUGCCAUGCAUAUGCUUUGCUACCAAGGUCUCCACUAUAUGGAGGAAUUUUUUUUAUAAAUAAUCCUAUCCAUUUUUAUAAUUAUAAAAAUAAUUUUUUUAAAAAAAUAAUUAUAAAAAUAGACCUCUAAAUGCGGUGAAUGAUUCACCGCAUUCAUAACUCUUCUUUAGAAGUAGAAAAAGAAUAAAAGCGGUGAACCAUUCACCGCUUUUACCAUCGUAAAAAUAUAAAAAAAAGUGAGAAAAAGAAAGAAAGUGGUGAAUGAUUCACUGCUUUUAAAAGCGCUGAAUCAUUCACCGCUUUUAUAGGACCAUAUUUACAAAUAAAAAUUUAACGAGUCUAUUUUUAGAAUAAAAUUUUAGGAAAGGACUAUUGCACUAAAAAACCCAUAUGGAGUAUAGGAGUUAUCAUGCAAGCAAUUCAUUCAAUUAGUAUUAUAUGCGUUAUGCGCUUGCCCCUAUUAUUGAUCGCCCAAAGGCGUCGUAAUCUCAUUCGUUAUGUCUAAAACAUGAAAUACGACUAACGACCUAAAGGUCGAGUACAAUGUCAUAAUGCUCACUUAGUUGUUCAACUAGUUAGGUACAACAUGCUUAACUUUACAAUUUCUCUCUACCAUGCAGUAGGUCAUAUUUGCCCUUGGCUAAAACAAGUAUAUUAAUUAGUAUGCAAAUCGAACUCAAUAAUUUCCUAACCACGCGAAGUCCCAUAGGACUUUCAUUUACUCAUCUCUAUCAUGCAUCCUAAUGUUGCAUAAGAGGAAAAUACUAUUACAUGCUAUCUAGUGCCAUUUAGUGUACAAGUCUACAUGAUAAACCUUUACUAAAUAGAGUAUGAAAUUCUACAUGUCUCAUGAAUGUAUCAUGCAUUCAAAAUUUCUACCAUGUCCUAACUAGCAUGGAUAUGCACCAAAUUAUGUCUUAUAAUAACAUAGAAGAUAUAGAGGGAGUUUACCCAUUUCGGUGAGGUUAAACCCACCGGAUAUUCUUCGAUCCCUUUCGUUCCUUUGAAUGAAGUUGUCCGUCAAGCUCCUAGUACCCUAAGAGAAUUUCUAAAAGUGUUACAAGCUUCUAACAAGCCUCAUACAAAAAUAACCAAAACUCAAGUCCAAAAUAGGUGGAAAAUACCUUUACUCAAGAAGAAUCUGACCAAAGUCCAAAUCGAAGUUACAAAGCUUCAAAUCCUACCUAAAAGAGAGUUCUACACUCAUCAAUUAGGUUCCAAAAGCCUCACAACAAGAAUCCCUAAAUUAAAUCCUAGUUUUUCCAUAACUAGGUUUAAUUCCACAAAUCUUCACAAAAACACAAUCAAGAGUAGCAAUUAGGUUACUAACCUUCAAGAAAACUCCAAACCAAGCUAAACUUGAGCUAGGGUUGGAGUUUAAUCCUGAACUAAGCUUCUAGCUUCACUUCCAAGACUCCUAUAGGGUUCACCAAGCAAGCUUCCAUGGAAAGAAAGAAGAAAACAAGAUCAAAUCUUUAAAUCUACAUGAGAUUAGAGAGGAAAUCUAAAGCGAGAGAGAGAGAGGAAAAGCUUACCGUAAGGUCCCAGCACAGAAGACCAAGAAUGAGGGGUGCUAGGGAUAUACACUAAUGUAACAAUCCCAAAAAGGCCUCUCAAAAGCUCUCAAAUAGCAAACUGCAUGAAAUGCAGUUAUCGGUACCCAGCACAAAGACACCAAACCGGAGCGCUAGACCGUCAGGUUUAAUACGGUGUAUCGACACCCAGUUCGGUACUGGUACUCACCAACCAGUAUUGGUACUCAACGCCCCAGCUCCUCAAACCUAAGAGCUGGCCAAUUUGGCACUCUACAGGGUAUCGGUACCAACAUCCAAUACCGGUACUCAACACUAAAACCUACACUUUGCAUAUUUCGAUGUCGAAAGUCCGUUCUCACGCCUAAUAUGCUCCAAAAACAGGCAGAUACAACACAAACAACCCUCAAAACAUUUAAAAUAGUUCAAAGUACUAUGCUUACACUAGAACCUUGCCAUUUACUAAAGUUUAGUGUCCUACAAAAACAGAUUCCAAUCGCAGCAAAUUAGCAUCAACAGUGGCACUGAUUGGGCCUUGAAGCAAAAAGGAAAAUGAACUUGGUAAAAGCUAUUAUGUCGACAAAGUAUGAUCCUAAUUACUCAAAUCGAUUAAACUUGAAAGUGCCUCUGAUUCCCCAGUAAGCGUAAUGCUUGAGUAUGUAAGGGCAAAGGCUUUGGUAUUACUGAACUAGUUAACUUUGGGUUGAAGUAGCUUUGGCCAAGCUGUUGAGACUUUUAAAUUUGCUGCACUACAAUCUAAUCAGGCCUUAUAGAGAAAAAAAGUAAGAUAAAAUGUUAUAGCUGGGGGUCACCUGUCCUAGAACUACUACGUUUAACCCUCUUAAUCUCUUGGGCCUAGCCACUGCCCAAAAUAUCUUAGAGAGGUUAAGAGGUUUUAGCCCUAUAUAUCUUGUAUAUAGAACUAUUUCAAAUCAUGGGGUCGAUGCAUUCCUCCUCCCUUUAAGCCUUGACAUUCUCGUCAGACUUUGAUGAUGUAAGCCUCAUCUUGCUAGCCUUCAUCCAAGCCUCAUCUUGCUAGCCUUGUCAUUAUGAUCCUAAGCCUGUCAUUUUCAGAUCUUGGUUUAGCCUGUCAUUCAGAUCCUAGCUCAAUCGAGAUUUAUAUCACACGUUCUGCUGUUGAUUGUCUUUGGUACCAACUGUGAUGCGCUCAUUUCCUCUGGGCCUCAUCCAUCCUAGAACUACUCUAGUCCCAGCACGCUUAAUGCUCUUAGCCUCUUGGCCUAGCCAUUGCUGCCCAAAAUGCUAUAGCUGUGUUAACAGGUUUUGUCCAUUAUAUCUUAUAUAUAAGGCUAUUCCAAACCUGGGGGUGUCACAACUUAAUCUAAUUAGCCUUACAUAGGCAGAAAGUAAGAUAAAAUGCAAAGGUCCAUGAUGCUAAAUGGUGCUAAAUGGUAUCUACAGCAUCCUAAAUGCACUCAUUUUUUGUCCUCUUUUGUUGGGAGGGAGAGGAAGGAGUAGGUUGUACUGACGAUCGCAUCAUAAUUUUGCUAUAGGUAAGUGCAUACGUGUCCACGUAAGAAGCAUUUACAGAUCAAAACUUUAGAAAAUAAAGAGUGCAUAUCAAAAUGAAAGGGAUUAAUGAAAUAUAGAGAAGUCCCAUAACUUUUACAGGCUCUCCCCACACUUUCCCUAGGGCAUUAAGCAUUAUAAUAUAGCAAGGAUAAUGCUGAAAUUUACGUUAAAGAAGUCUAACUGUGAAUUUGGUUAAUAAUUGAAUCUUUGUUAGGAGUAUCUACGCAUGGUUCUAAGGAAGUAUUUAAGCAGCUAAUGACAUACUUGUCGUGGUCAACUUACUCAUGUGGACAUGUACCUCUAGGCUGCUUUUUUCUAGGCAACAUUGUUAAGGGAUUACAUUUCUCAUAUGCGCCCGCACCAUCGCAUGCACUGCUUUUCCUAGCAUUUAUAAUGAAAUGCUUGCGGACAACGUUAUAUGUGGAGGGAUAUAUGUUCCAAUUGUCAGAGAGUUAUAGUUUAGAUAGCAGCUAUGUAAUGGUUAUAAUUUUUUUUUUUUAAAAAAUUACCAGCCAAAGGAAGGUCAGAGAAAGUAUUAGUAAUUUAAGAUUGAUGGAAAAAAGCUUUCAAAUGAUAAGGCUCCAUGGAACUGCAUACUGUUCAAAAAGUAGCCAUAAUAACAUUUAGGGAACUUAUCUGAAAUAUGGACCAUUUGGAUUUUGCUACCCAAACUUUCAAAAUUUUGAUUUUACUACCCAACCUUUCAAUUUGUUCGACUUGAGUUGGUCAACGCCAUUGACUCCAAAAUUUAGGCUAACUACUUUAAUGAAUAUGUAAUUGUGAAAAUUGUCUAAAAUAUACUAAUUAACAUGUGUAAGAUAAACGAUGCGUUCCAAUUUGAAGUCAAACUACUUUGACUGAGUCAAAUCAAACAAAUUGAAAGGUUUGGUAGUAAAAUCAAAAUUUUGAAAGUUUAGGUAGCCAAAUCCAAAAGAUCCAUAGUUCAGGUUAGUUUCAUGCAGUUUUACCUAACGUUUAAGAUACAACCUCCAAACUGAAACCUUCUAGUAUUAAUGCAUGGAGUUGUUUGAACAUGUAAACAUGUGGAUUGAGUGUAGCGGUCGAGGUUACCUUGUGUAUUUAUGUUUUCCCUUGUAUUAUCAUGAAAUUUAAAAUCUUCAUAGGAGAUGUAAUGUGCUUUUAAGUGUCACAUGACAAUAAUUCUUCUUUUUUUUUUAAAAAAAUCUGAUUAUUAUUCCUCUUCUCUUUUAUGUCUUCUAUCCUGUAUCCAUUGUUCCUUCUUUUUAUCAUCGCUUUGUCAACACUAUUAAUGUGUAAGAUUGUAAACUGCUUGCUCUUUCUUCGCGCACCUUGAGCAUCCCUCUUUUCUUUUUUUGCUUGUUUUGUAUUACGGGGUAUAUUUUGGAGUAAGAUUAAUUUUUCAUUUUUUCUAUUCAGGAACACUAUUAUAAACAAGAGGCUAUUAGACUAGUAAACUUUACAAAAACGUUGUAUUCCUUGGAUUCUGUAGAUGUAAGUAUCGAUGCACUAUGGUUAUUUAUUUUUAAGUAAUUAUAUUAAAAUUUUACUUAUUUCUUGAACUAAUUUUAACAAAAUUCUUCUUUGUUCACAUGUAGUUCUACAGGUGCCCGGUGGAUCUGCAUAAAGAGCUGGAGAUGAAGGGUUUGAUCCCACCUAAUUUCAUAGGAGCUGAAGAGUGUAUAAGAGUAAGUAUCUCAACGCAACAUUUGUUACUAUUGAAACAAGUAUUUAUUUUGUCUUUAUGCAGCUAAGGUGCACCAAAUCUAAUAUCGUGCAUUACUAUGAUACGUACUACAAGUUAGUCGAAAAGCUCUGUGAUUUGGCACCAUAUAUGCAGGUUGCUUUCUCAACUGUUUCUAGUAAUUUAUUUCUGUGGAUUACUAUUAAUUGUUUUUAAUCUUGUUGUAGUGGAAUCAUGAGAUUGGUAAGCAAGUUGAAUGGCUAAAGGAGAAGGGUCAUCUUACAUCUCUCUGCGAUUCUACUAUUUCUGAGUACGAGAUAUGUUUGGCCCUUGAGGUGAUUGUUUUGAAUAUAUUGCUCGAUUUUGGAUUACGAGUUUAUUUAUGAACGUCAAUCUAAUUAUUUAACUCUUCUCUUUCAAGAACCUCCAUGGACUUUUUUUUGA
rnacentral:lncRNA from 1 species